GACGAACGCUGGCGGCGUGCUUAACACAUGCAAGUCGAACGGAAAGGCCCUGCUUUUGUGGGGUGCCCGAGUGGCGAACGGGUGAGUAACACGUGAGUAACCUGCCCUUGACUUUCGGGUAACUUCACGAAACUGGGGCUAAUACCGGAUAGGAGCUCCUGCUGCAUGGUGGGGGUUGGAAAGUUUCGGCGGUUGGGGAUGGACUCGCGGCUUAUCAGCUUGUUGGUUGGGUAGUGGCUUACCAAGGGUUUGACGGGUAGCCGGCCUGGGAAGGUGAACGGCCACAUUGGGACUACGAUACGGCCCAGACUCCUACGGGAGGCAGCAGUGGGGAAUAUUGCACAGUGGGCGGAAGCCUGAUGCAGCAACGCCGCGUGCGGGAUGACGGCCUUCGGGUUGUGAACCGCUUUCGCCUGUGACGAAGCGUGAGUGACGGUAAUGGGUAAAGAAGCACCGGCUAACUACGUG
rnacentral:rRNA from 1 species